AAGCUUACAAAGCCAUUAUAUAACACCCAAAAAAAACAUUAAAUAACACAGCGCUAGAAAAAGUAUAUCCAAAAGAAGUUAAUUUGUGUAUAGCAGGGGGUUUGCUCAGAUACAAACAUUUAAAAAAACCAACAGAUUUCAAAGAAACUAAAGAGCACCCAAAAGAACUAAACAUAGGCAUCUGUAGCGCAACUUUCAAAAACUGCAAAUGGACAUCUUCAAAUAAAAAAAAAGGAACAUGUUUCCCUGCAGAAUAAGCUGCCCAACCCAGUAACAUUUGAUAGAUCACCCCCAUUUAAACCCUCACUGUAAUAAAUAAAGAAUUGAAAUACAGUCUUGUACCAGAAAUAGAAGUACCAAGAAAGCCUAUAACAUAACAUAAUCUACUGGAAACUAAGCCCAGCUACAAAAUUUUCAGGCUAACAAGCAAAAGGUCUUAAGAUAUGGGGUAAGCAAACCACAAAAACACCUACACGCAAGGACCACAUGCCAAAAGGGUCAGCAUUGUAUAUUAAGUAGCCUUUCCUCCACACGAAAUGGUACAGUAACUACAUGACAAGCAACCAAAAGGGCAUAACCGUGUAACAUCAGCAAAGGAGAAUUACCCCCAAAUCCAAACAACAAAUUGCCUAGCCAGCUGAGUAAAAGCAAAUUCGCCACCAUUUGCGAGUUGUUGCACAUCAUAGAAGUUUCUUUUAUUCUACAGGAAUCUAAGCAGCCAUCACAUUUUAAACAUGCGUGAGAAAACGUAGAGUAGAGUCCCACUCGCUAAAAAAGCAGAACCCUGCCACUAAAAAGGGAGAUCCCGCAUCUCGAGUGUCGCAAAAGACUAGCCCCCUUCCAAAGGCCGUGGCGUCGCGCGGUGGCCUUCUGGAAGCUUCGAGAACAAUCCCAGCCACGGGAUUUCCCCGCACGACUCCCGUCUAGCAGCUCCUACAACACUCGGCGAAAGCAAUGGCGGAAUGCUGCCACGAGGCGCAUCCAGGAUUCCAGAACUUCGCCAGGCAGUCACAUGAUGGACUUUGGCUCCCCAUGUGAUGGCUGCAUUGGUCAAGUCACAAGUGUCAACCAAGAAUGAGGUGAGGCCCUCCGGGAUCGUGCUACACAAAGUAAUGGGAUGACAAUCGACGCGGGUAAAUUUGUUUGUGCUAAUCCAUCGGCACUGAUGAUUUUUUUGCACUGCACGGUAAGUUAAGAUUAUAGCAUAGUAAGUUAAGCCUGGUCCACACCACAUUCGCAAAUUCAUAUGAAUGUUGAUUUUAUAUUUAUACUAUAUUUCGACAACCCAAAAAAAACCUCCAACAAGUGGCCAGAUAUAUAAAGGGUGUUCUUGCUUCAGGUUAACCUGUAAUGCAAGAUGUGCACUUUGCCCUCGUGUGAGUAAAAUGACCAAGUCAUCAAAAACACCAAACCGGGCAGCAUACUAGUAGUGUCAUCGAAUAUUCAAACUCGGAAUAAACAAUAAGGAUUAUAAAAACAAAAAAAAAACAACCGUGAUGCUUCUAUUGCUGCAAAAUAUCAGGAUUUAAACCGUGAUAUUCAAAAAGCAAAAUUGUAAUCGCUUUUUCCAACAUUAUACAGAGCUCUAUACCUACAUUGUGCAAUACAAGAGCCAUAGCUCCAAAAGAACCAGAGCCAGUCACCCUUUCACCUUUAUGCACAACUGCAACUCAAAAUUGACUCCAUAAAAAAAAAACUGCAACUCAAAACUGACAGACA